UACGGAGGGUGCAAGCAUUAAUCGGAAUUAUUGGGCGUAAAGGGCGCGUAGGCGGAAAUGUAAGUCAGAUGUGAAAUUCCAAAGCUCAACUUUGGAGCUGCAUUUGAAACUGCAUUUCUAUAGAGGGAUAACGGAGAAAGCGGAAUUCCACGUGUAGCGGUGAAAUGCGUAGAUAUGUGGAAGAACACCAGUGGCGAAGGCGGCUUUCUAGUUUUCACCUGACGCUGAGGCGCGAAAGCUAGGGGAGCAAACAGG
rnacentral:rRNA from 1 species